UACGAAGGGUGCAAACGUUGCUCGGAAUCAUUGGGCGUAAAGCGCGCGUAGGCGGUUUUGUAAGUCGGGUGUGAAAUCCCCAAGCUUAACUUGGGAACUGCAUUCGAGACUGCAUAGCUAGAGUAUGGGAGAGAGAAGUGGAAUUUCCGGUGUAGCGGUGAAAUGCGUAGAUAUCGGAAGGAACAUCAGUGGCGAAAGCGACUUCUUGGACCAAUACUGACGCUCAAGUGCGAAAGCGUGGGGAGCAAACAGG
rnacentral:rRNA from 1 species